UACGUAGGGUGCAAGCGUUGUCCGGAAUUAUUGGGCGUAAAGAGCUCGUAGGCGGUCUGUCGCGUCGGCUGUGAAAACCUGAGGCUCAACCUCAGGCCUGCAGUCGAUACGGGCAGACUAGAGUUCGGUAGGGGAGACUGGAAUUCCUGGUGUAGCGGUGAAAUGCGCAGAUAUCAGGAGGAACACCGGUGGCGAAGGCGGGUCUCUGGGCCGAAACUGGACGCUGAGGAGCGAAAGCGUGGGGAGCGAACAGG
rnacentral:rRNA from 1 species